GACGAACGCUGGCGGCGUGCUUAACACAUGCAAGUCGAACGGGAUUUAGUAGACAGAAGCCUCGGCUAAAGAUUACUAAUGAGAGUGGCGAACGGGUGAGUAACGCGUGAGCAACCUGCCUAUGACAGUGGGAUAGCCUCGGGAAACCGGGAUUAAUACCGCAUAAAAUCGUAGAAACACAUGUUUUAACGGUCAAAGAUUUAUCGGUCAUAGAUGGGCUCGCGUCUGAUUAGCUAGUUGGUGAGAUAACAGCCCACCAAGGCGACGAUCAGUAGCCGGUCGGAGAGGAUGAACGGCCACAUUGGAACUGAGACACGGUCCAAACUCCUACGGGAGGCAGCAGUGGGGAAUAUUGCACAAUGGGGGAAACCCUGAUGCAGCGACGCCGCGUGAACGAAGAAGGUAUUCGUAUCGUAAAGUUCUGUCCUAUGGGAAGAUAAUGACAGUACCAGAGAAGAAAGCGCCGGCUAAAUACGUG
rnacentral:rRNA from 1 species